AAAAUAUUACUCAGGUUUUCAAUGCACAAAUAUCUAAUUUUUAUUCUAAAAGUAUUCCUCAGAAAUGCCACUCUGUUUCCAUGGUUGAAGAAGAUUGGAUCAACUCAAAGUACCUGAAGAAUCCUCACGAUUUGAAAGAUCACGGACAAGUUCCUGCAGUGUUGGAGUGGGCUGAGUAUAGAGGAGAUUGUUAUGAAGAAUAUAAUUCGAAAACUACUUGUAACAAGGACAAUAGAUGUUUAAUACAAUUAAGCUCAGGCUACCUUUGCCUUUGCUUUAGGGAAACAAGCUUUGACCGACACCACCAUGGAUAUUGCUCAGGUACAAUUUCGAAUACUAAUUAAAUUAAUUUCAUAUAUGAAGUGUAAUUACUGCAUUUGCUCGAACCAACUACGUAUCUAACACAAAAUUAGUGAAAGUAAUUGCAGAAUUCGCAUAUGUAAAAAGGGCAAGAUAUAUAUAUAUAUAGCCGUAAUUUAUUUUGAUAUUCUAUUUCAUCUUUUGGGUUUGUUCAGGUAACUUGCUCUGUAAUAUCACAAGCCCCUACAAUUGCUCAUUAGGAUGUCCCAAAGGUUACUUUUUAGAUAAUUUUUAUUCUAAAAGUAUUACUCAUAAGUGCCACUCUGUUUCCAUGGUUGAAGAAGAUUGGAUCAACUCAAAGUACCUGAAGAAUCCUCACGAUUUGAAAGAUCACGGACAAGUUCCUGCAGUGUUGGAGUGGGCUGAGUAUAGAGGAGAUUGUUAUGAAGAAUAUAAUUCGAAAACUACUUGUAACAAGGACAAU
rnacentral:lncRNA from 1 species